AGGGAGAGUUAAUAUAAUGGAUUCCAGUGAUGUGAAGGGUGCCUUACGGUUCAAGUGCCUAAAAAACCUUUAAUAUUCUCGGAAUCUGGAGUCAAAAGCUACUUGGUAUUAUUAAUUCUGCGCAUUGGACUCAUACUGGGUCCCACGACGUUUGAUAAGAUUUUUACCCAGCAGUAAUUCUGCAACAUUCUAUUUCAGGCGUUGAGGUAUUUCUUAGUAGUUUUAUCGAAUCUUUCACUAAAUGGCUUACACACACACGCACACACACAAAUAUAUGUAUCUAUAUAUAUAUAUAUAUAUAUAUGUUAUGUAUACGAUUAGAAAUGGUAAUGAGCAGUAAAGCAUAAAUUAUCAUGCACUCAACACACUGCGUUUUUUCAACCAGUUUGCAACUCGAGAAGUUUCAAAGUUAACUAGGGUGUUGAAUUCUGGCAGGUUCACAUCGAUUUCACCUGUAGUAAGAAUCCAAGUAGCAACUGUUAAUCCUUGCCAAGCAACGAGGUUGAGAGGCAUGCACCCUAACUAAAGGCCUUGCUCCAGAAAUUUCUGGUCUGAUUUGCAACAAUGGGGAGGCGGAAUCCAAGUACACUGACCCGACCUUUGCAAACGAG
rnacentral:lncRNA from 1 species